rnacentral:rRNA from 1 species
AGAGUUGAUUCUGGCUCAGAACGAACGCUGGCGGCAGGCCUAACACAUGCAAGUCGAGCGCGCCCGUUCGGGGUGAGCGGCGGACGGGUUAGUAACGCGUGGGAACCGUACCCUUUGGUAGGGAAUAGCCACUGGAAACGGUGAAGUAAUACCCUAUGAGCCCGUUACGGGGGAAAGUAUUUAUCGACCAAAGGAUCGGCCCGCGUUAGAUUAGGUAGUUGGUGGGGUAAUGGCCUACCAAGCCUACGAUCUAUAGCUUGGUUUUAGAGGAUGAUCAGCAACACGUGGGACUGAGACACCGGCCCAGACUCCGUACGGGAGGCAGCAGGUGGGGAAUCUUGGAACAAGUGGGGGCAACCCUGAAUCCAGCCAUGCCGCGUGAGUGAAGAAGGCCUUAGGGUCGUAAAGCUCUUUCGCCUGUGAAGAUAAUGACGGUAGCAGGUAAAGAAACCCCGGCUAACUCCGUGCCAGCAGCGGC